AAGAAAAAAAACGAAAAACAAUUACCUCAAAAACGCUGUGCAAAUGUUGAAAUCCGGAAGCCAAUAUAAGUUAGGGGCUUCGAAAUUGGGUAAUAAACAAGUGUGAUGGAUAAAUUUUGAAUGAAUCGCAGCAAUUGUUGAAAAAAUGAGAGAGAAUGGAAAAGAAUUGCGGGAAAAAUGAAAACUGGGACUCUUAAAAAGGCAUUGUCGCUCUAGCGAGCCAUGGGCGAAACUCGAGCGAAAAGCGUUCUGCUUUUGUCACUCGAGCGAAGUCCAGGCGAGACUCGAGAGAAGUUCAAAUAUCAGAAAUAGCACUUAAAUUUUGAAUAUUGAGAAAAAGAACACAAUUAUCAAGAAAUGACGAAAUUAGCCCCAAAUCGUGUAUUUUCAAAAAUAAGACAAGUGCAGAGCAUCGGAAACUAAUAAAAAAAAACGAAGCAGGGGACCAAUUAUGUAAACUAUACCAAUAAUAAGCAUAAAGUCACAACCCCGACACUCAGCACAUAGACAAAUCGUAAGUCCACACAUAGUUCAAAAUCCCGUGGAGUAAAGUGUAUACAGAACAUCACCGUGAAAAGUGCCACGUAGUCCAUGCAAGUGAGACUCAAAACCUUAAAUUAGUGAGAAAGGACACGUGAAAACAACCAGACAGAGGUGUAUGUCUACCAAGUGACAGUCAAAUCAAAUUCCACGAGGACCUAUAUCAAAUAUUACGAUUGUCACAAUUUUACUCCCCCUAACUGUAUGAUUCCAUAUUUCUUCCCUUUUUUUUUCAACAAAAGAACUUAAGUGCAAUGCUAUCCCCAUUAGGCGACAUAAAUGA
rnacentral:lncRNA from 1 species